rfam:Myotis davidii contig315051, whole genome shotgun sequence.
GGAGGUUCUCGGGUUACACACCCCGGAAUCGGGAUCCCUUCUCUCUGGUUCUGCGUGCGUCACCUGAGAACUGCA